rnacentral:rRNA from 1 species
AUUGAACGCUGGCGGCAUGCCUUACACAUGCAAGUCGAACGGUAACAGGUCUUCGGAUGCUGACGAGUGGCGAACGGGUGAGUAAUACAUCGGAACGUGCCCAGUCGUGGGGGAUAACUACGCGAAAGCGUAGCUAAUACCGCAUACGAUCUAUGGAUGAAAGCGGGGGAUCGCAAGACCUCGCGCGAUUGGAGCGGCCGAUGGCAGAUUAGGUAGUUGGUGGGGUAAAGGCUCACCAAGCCGACGCUCUGUAGCUGGUCUGAGAGGACGACCGGGCACAGUGGGAAUGAGACAGGGCCCAGACUCCGACGGGAGGCAGCAGGGGGGAAUUUUGGACAAUGGGCGCAAGCCUGAUGCAGCCAUGCCGCGUGCAGGAUGAAGGACUUCGGGUUGUAAACUGCUUUUGUACGGAACGAAAAGUCUCUUUCUAAUAAAGAGGGAUCAUGACGGUACCGUAAGAAUAAGCACCGGCUAACUAGGUGCCAGCAGCCGCCGUAACAC